GUGACUCGGUCGUGGCGGUACCAUUCUAUUGAUCGUUUUCACGUGGCGAGACGGGUGAGUAACGCGUAACAACCUGUCCUUGGGAGGGGGACAACCGCUGGAAACGGUUGCUAAUACCCCAUAGGCUGAGGAGCGAAAGGAGGAAUCCACCUAAGGAGGGGCUUGCGUCUGAUUAGCUAGUUGGUGAGGCAAUGGCUUACCAAGGCGAC
rnacentral:rRNA from 1 species